UGGGGAAUAUUCCACAAUGGGCGCAAGCCUGAUGCAGCCAUGCCGCGUGUGUGAAGAAGGCCUUCGGGUUGUAAAGCACUUUCAGCGGGGAGGAAGGCGUUAAGGUUAAUAACCUUGGCGAUUGACGUUACCCGCAGAAGAAGCACCGGCUAACUCCGUGCCAGCAGCCGCGGUAAUACGGAGGGUGCAAGCGUUAAUCGGAAUUACUGGGCGUAAAGCGCACGCAGGCGGUUGAUUGAGUCAGAUGUGAAAUCCCCGGGCUUAACCCGGGAAUUGCAUCUGAUACUGGUCAGCUAGAGUCUUGUAGAGGGGGGUAGAAUUCCAUGUGUAGCGGUGAAAUGCGUAGAGAUGUGGAGGAAUACCGGUGGCGAAGGCGGCCCCCUGGACAAAGACUGACGCUCAGGUGCGAAAGCGUGGGGAGCAAACAGG
rnacentral:rRNA from 1 species